rnacentral:rRNA from 1 species
UACGUAGGGGGCAAGCGUUGUCCGGAAUCAUUGGGCGUAAAGCGCGUGUAGGCGGCCAGAAAAGUCCGCUGUGAAAACUCGAGGCUCAACUUCGAGCUGUCGGUGGAAACUUUCUGGCUAGAGUCCGGAAGAGGAGAAUGGAAUUCCUGGUGUAGCGGUGAAAUGCGCAGAUAUCAGGAAGAACACCCGUGGCGAAGGCGGUUCUCUGGGACGGUACUGACGCUGAGACGCGAAAGCGUGGGGAGGCGAACAGG